UUACUAGACCAGACAAUCGAUUGUCAACACAGACAAUCGAUUGUUUGGUUUUUUCUGAAAAAGUGUUGUCACUGGAUGUGACAAGGAAAAAUUUUUCCAAGUUACUGGACCAGAUAAUCGAUUGUCAAAACAGACAAUCGAUUGUAAAAUUUUUCUAAGUUACUGGACCAGACAAUCGAUUGUCAAAACAGACAAUCGAUUGUUUGGUNN
rnacentral:lncRNA from 1 species